rnacentral:rRNA from 1 species
UUUAUGGAGAGUUUGAUCCUGGCUCAGGAUGAACGCUGGCGGCGUGCCUAAUACAUGCAAGUCGAGCGAACGGACGAGAAGCUUGCUUCUCUGAUGUUAGCGGCGGACGGGUGAGUAACACGUGGAUAACCUACCUAUAAGACUGGGAUAACUUCGGGAAACCGGAGCUAAUACCGGAUAAUAUUUUGAACCGCAUGGUUCAAAAGUGAAAGACGGUCUUGCUGUCACUUAUAGAUGGAUCCGCGCUGCAUUAGCUAGUUGGUAAGGUAACGGCUUACCAAGGCAACGAUGCAUAGCCGACCUGAGAGGGUGAUCGGCCACACUGGAACUGAGACACGGUCCAGACUCCUACGGGAGGCAGCAGUAGGGAAUCUUCCGCAAUGGGCGAAAGCCUGACGGAGCAACGCCGCGUGAGUGAUGAAGGUCUUCGGAUCGUAAAACUCUGUUAUUAGGGAAGAACAUAUGUGUAAGUAACUGUGCACAUCUUGACGGUACCUAAUCAGAAAGCCACGGCUAACUACGUGCCAGCAGCCGCGGUAAUACGUAGGUGGCAAGCGUUAUCCGGAAUUAUUGGGCGUAAAGCGCGCGUAGGCGGUUUUUUAAGUCUGAUGUGAAAGCCCACGGCUCAACCGUGGAGGGUCAUUGGAAACUGGAAAACUUGAGUGCAGAAGAGGAAAGUGGAAUUCCAUGUGUAGCGGUGAAAUGCGCAGAGAUAUGGAGGAACACCAGUGGCGAAGGCGACUUUCUGGUCUGUAACUGACGCUGAUGUGCGAAAGCGUGGGGAUCAAACAGGAUUAGAUACCCUGGUAGUCCACGCCGUAAACGAUGAGUGCUAAGUGUUAGGGGGUUUCCGCCCCUUAGUGCUGCAGCUAACGCAUUAAGCACUCCGCCUGGGGAGUACGACCGCAAGGUUGAAACUCAAAGGAAUUGACGGGGACCCGCACAAGCGGUGGAGCAUGUGGUUUAAUUCGAAGCAACGCGAAGAACCUUACCAAAUCUUGACAUCCUUUGACAACUCUAGAGAUAGAGCCUUCCCCUUCGGGGGACAAAGUGACAGGUGGUGCAUGGUUGUCGUCAGCUCGUGUCGUGAGAUGUUGGGUUAAGUCCUGCAACGAGCGCAACCCUUAAGCUUAGUUGCCAUCAUUAAGUUGGGCACUCUAAGUUGACUGCCGGUGACAAACCGGAGGAAGGUGGGGAUGACGUCAAAUCAUCAUGCCCCUUAUGAUUUGGGCUACACACGUGCUACAAUGGACAAUACAAAGGGCAGCGAAACCGCGAGGUCAAGCAAAUCCCAUAAAGUUGUUCUCAGUUCGGAUUGUAGUCUGCAACUCGACUACAUGAAGCUGGAAUCGCUAGUAAUCGUAGAUCAGCAUGCUACGGUGAAUACGUUCCCGGGUCUUGUACACACCGCCCGUCACACCACGAGAGUUUGUAACACCCGAAGCCGGUGGAGUAACCUUUUAGGAGCUAGCCGUCGAAGGUGGGACAAAUGAUUGGGGUGAAGUCGUAACAAGGUAGCCGUAUCGGAAGGUGCGGCUGGAUCACCUCCUUUCU